ACAAGGACAUGCGCUUCAGCACCAGGGUCAAGGACGAGGAAGGCAUGCCGGCCUUCGCCCUCGUCAACAAGGCCACCGGCCUCGCCAUCAAGCACUCGCUCGGCCAAUCCCACCCGGUAAGUAUUUACUUGUCUGUCUGUACAUGUUCAUCUACCAUCAGCAAGGAGAUGGAGAUCGAUUCUGAUUGCAAUCCGAUCGAUCCAUAUGCUGUAUGCAGGUGAAGCUGGUGCCCUUCAACCCUGCCGAGGAGGACGCGUCGGUGCUGUGGACGGAGAGCAAGGACAUCGGCAAGGGCUUCCGCUGCAUCCGCAUGGUCAACAACACCCGCCUCAACUUCGACGCCUUCCACGGCGACAAGGACCACGGCGGCGUCCACGACGGCACCACCGUCGUGCUCUGGGAUUGGUGCAAGGGCGAGAACCAGAGCUGGAAGAUCCUGCCAUGGGGCCCCGAGGCGCACUCCCCCGCCGCCGGGCCCGGGAACGCCUCCAUCGGCGGCGUCCCCGUGCACACCGUCCGCGUCUUCUGCAAGGCCGGCGAGGACUACAGCCUGACGGCGCGCAACGGCACGGUGUGCCUGGCGCCCUCCAACCCCAGGGACGAGUACCAGCACUGGAUCAAGGACAUGAGGCACAGCACCCGGAUCAGGGACGAGGAGGGCUACCCGGCCUUCGCCCUCGUCAACAAGGUCACCGGCGAGGCCAUCAAGCACUCCACGGGGCAGGGCCACUCCGUCAAGCUGGUCCCCUACAACCCGGACUACCAGGACGAGUCGGUGCUCUGGACCGAGAGCCGCGACGUCGGCGACGGCUUCCGCUGCGUCCGCAUGGUGAACAACAUCUACCUCAACUUCGACGCCUUCCACGGCGACAAGGCCCACGGCGGCGUCCACGACGGCACCGAGAUCGUGCUCUGGGAGUGGGCCAAGGGCGACAACCAGCGCUGGAAGAUCCUCCCCUGGUGUAAGUGUACAUCCAUGCCAUUGAUGCCCUGCCUUACAUCCUUUGAAAAUCUCAUGUUUUCCAAUCAAUGGUUGCUUGCGUUCGCAGAGAUCGAUGGAGACGGCGGAACCUGAUGGACUGGAACCAAGGAGCUGCUACCUAAUAAUAACCGAUUACUGCAGCGAUUGAAUAAACCGUGUGUUAUGUUGUAAUCGCGGAUUUCGGAGUUGUAUUUGCGUCAGACUGUCGGUCACAGUGUGACUAGUGUCCUGUCCCUUCUGUGAGCCUGGCCUUAGUGCCUCACCAUGUGAGGAGUGACCUGUAUUGUGGAGGAGUAGCCUCGAUCUGAUCCUGCAUUGUGGUGCGAUCCUUCUGGCUUUCUUUCGAUUUCCGGCGCCACAACUCUGUAUCAUCUCGUCUCCUUUGUUCUACUGAAUGAAUAUGCAUCUGCAUUCCGUUUCACCUAUCUUUGCGCUGGGGACCAACUCUGUUCCAUGGUCCACGUGAAACCCCCAGGUUGUUCGCGGAAAACUUUCUUUUUAAUAACAGAGCGCUGCAAACCGACGCCUGUGCAAAGCAAUCUUUUUAAAAAAAACUAAGCAGGAGCACUGCUGAUUCAUUUAAGAAGAAAGAAAUUCGAAGUUACAAAUAUUAUAUAAAUUGAUGAUCGCGCUGCUCUUAAACAUUAAAAUAAAUCAAACUGUGCCGGACAAAUGUCAGUCACGGUGGAACUGCAGCUUUCCUGGAGAUAUAGAUGUACAUUCGGGCCUCCCGGCGGUCCGGCACGGGCCAAGCAUGGCCCGUUCAUUUUCGUGCUGGGCCUGGCCCGUCACGACAACCCCAUCGUGCCAGGCCGGGCCAGCCCACGAGCCUCAGUCACGGCCUAGACACAGGCCCGUAGUGCCUUUUUCGUGCCGGGUCGACCCGAAUAGCCCGGUAUUUUUUACGUGUCGUGCCGGCCUACAGCCCGUUAAGAAAAAGACUUCACCGAAUGAACGUCUGAUUCAUAAUCUAACACUUUCAUUUGAACACAUAGAAAUUCAUCACAUUCAUCAGUUCAUCCCAUAUUCACAUUCACAUUCACAUUCACACAUAUUCAUCACGUGCAGGGAGCUGGGGAGCGGCCAAUUUGAGCGCUCGAGGUGUCGGAUCUGCCAAUUCGAGGCGUGGAGGCGCCGGAUCGGAGGAUUUGAGGUCGAGGGCUCGAGACGAGGAGGUGUCGGAGCAGGGCGGGACGCCAUGUUGCCGUCAGCCGUCGGCACCUCGAUGGGACUGCGGUCUGCGGGUGCGCCGGUGCGGGACAGGGGAAUGGGGGAGGACUGGAGGAGGAGGCGAUGGCCGCGAGUGGAGGAGGCGAGGAGCGGAGGAGGCGAGGCGAGGAGGCGGCUGGUGGAGGGGUAGGGUUUGCAGUUGCGAAGGGGAGGCCGAGGCCGGCGGGGGCAUAUAUAUGCCGGGCGCUCCCGAUCAUUGGUGGGCUACAGAGUUGGGCCGGCUUGACGGGCCGGCUGUUCGAUUUCAUGCCGGGCUGUGCCGCCCAUCGGGCCUAGGUGGCAGCCCACGCCUGGAACGAAGCAUCGGGCCGGGCUGGGCUUAGGAUGGGCCAAAAAUGAGCUUCGUGCUGGGCUGUCGGGCUACAGGCUGCAUGUACAUCUGUACCUGGAGAGAACUGGACGAGCUGGGCCUGCUCGCUCGGCUGCCAGCCCAAGUAUCUGCCGCAGCAGGCCCAUUACAUCCAGGUCCAGCCCCUGAAAGAUUGGCCUUCUGAAACAAGCAAAAUCUCGGUUUAUCUGGCCUAAAGCGGGCCCAACCAAACCGACUUGGAAUCGAAACUCAACAUGUUAAAGCAGGAAAGGAUCAAUAAAUGCUGCGAUCAGAGAAGCACAUUGUUUUUGCUGCGGUGAAGAGACGAGGAAAAAAAAUGUACUGCAGUGUUCGUUGUGCAGUUCUUCCUCAUGCUCUGUGCGCGCUUAAGUUUGUAGUCCUACUUUGCCUACUCUACCAAUUCAAGAAUCUAUGUUAUAAUCUGCGCAUUCUGAUUUUUUUUUUAUCAUUACCAUCUCUGUAUUAUUUUCUCCGAUCCAUAGCCCUGCUGCUGCUUUGGUGACCUGUUCUUCACAAAUAUCACUCCUGCUAUGUCGAAUCUGAAUUUCAAAUAAAAGUACUAGCUCAUUUCUUUUACAAGAAUAUUUCAGAAAAAUGUCCAGGAACUAUAAAGAAAAUAAUAUGUUUUCAAUAACUGUGGAAAAAUAUAUUAUGCAUCUACUUGAACGUUUGCGUAUAUUACGUGUUGAAAAAAAAAGGAAAAGAAAUCCAUGUGCUUCCCGGUGAAGCAUUUUUCUAAGAAAAAAAAGUUGAAACUGGGAGGGCCGAGGAAACGGAAUGGGCCUUCUUGUUUCCAAAGGAGAAAACUGGGCCAGUAUCCCUGAUGCAAAACAACUGCAAAUGUACGCAGAGUGCAGAUAACAGUAACGCGCAGCAUCUAGAAGGCACGUAAACCAGAAGGAAUACGUCGAUAACGAUUCGAGAUAAUCAUCAACGAAAAAUAUUCGAAUUCGCUGCUUAAUUGGAUCCCAUUAGUUUUUUUAUUCUUUGAGCAUUAUUACGUUUAAUUCCAGGCCUCCAGCUUGCGGUUAAGCACAACGCGUGCCCCUCCACAACUUUGUAUCCUCGCCGUCAAUAAUGGCCGCAGAGCAACGAUUCUUCUCAAAACGACUAGAAACGGAAUCACGCAAAGCUGGGCUGCUAGUGUCGCAUGGCAUCAUCCUUCCUGCCCAUGCACGCCCCCGUCGCUCGAUAGAUGCAGAUCGCCAUCGAUCACCUGCUACACCGCGCAGCGUGAUGCUAACGCCACGCACCCACAAUGCAGCGCCGCGACGCGAGAGCCCUAUAAAUCCCCCGUCCGUUGCCCUAUAAAUCAAUCACAAACAAGAACCACAACACAAGUGCUUGCUGCUAGCUGCUUAAGAAAAGAACCAGGCACACCAAAGAGAAAAGAGAGAUGGACUUUUACGGUGGUCGUGAGCGUUACGGCGGCGGUUACGGCGGCAUCGCGACGCCGGGGUACGCUCCGCCGGUGCCGUACGGGAUGUCGCAGGUGAACAUCGAGGGCAAGGGUUGCGGGCGCCCUCUGCCGCCGCAGCCGACGGUGAAGGUGUACUGCCGCGCCGACCCCAACUACGCGAUGACGGUCCGCAACGGCAAGGUGGUGCUGGCGCCGGCGAACCCCAAGGACGAGUACCAGCACUGGAUCAAGGACAUGCGGUGGAGCACGAGCGUCAAGGACGAGGAGGGGUACCCGGCGUUCGCGCUGGUGAACAAGGCCACCGGGGAGGCCAUCAAGCACUCCCUGGGGCAGUCCCACCCGGUGCGCCUGGUGCCCUACAACCCGGACUUCCUGGACGAGUCGGUGCUGUGGACGGAGAGCCGCGACGUCGGCAACGGCUUCCGCUGCGUGCGCAUGGUGAACAACAUCUACCUCAACUUCGACGCGCUCCACGGCGACAAGUGGCACGGCGGCGUCCGCGACGGCACCGAGAUCGUGCUCUGGAAGUGGUGCGAGGGAGACAACCAGCGCUGGAAGAUCCAGCCAUACUACUGAACAACUGAUCCAUCAGCUGCCUCAUCC
rnacentral:lncRNA from 1 species